CCCAUAGCUGACCCCAUAAGUGACCCACAUCUCCCUGCCAUUCCAUGAUUCUAUGAAAUCCACUGAGUGUGACAAGACAGAUUCACAGCAAAACUUUCCUUUCCUUUCUGGUGACAGGAUGCAUCCAUUCAAUCACUCCUAACUCUCCACCCUGUGCAAGAGGAGAAUAAAAAUCAAAAUCUUACAGAUAUUUGCUAGUACUUCUCAUGGCAUUUCUAACUUAGUUUAAGAGGUGCUUGAUUUACUACUUUUUUUUUUUCUUUUUUUUUUUUUGUUAUACCAAAAUAAAAUCACUGUUUCUCAC